AGGCCCAGCGCCCUAGCCCAACCCUUAUCUCUAGUCUUUCAUUCAAUUAGGGAUUAGGGAAUUUAGAAAAGGGGAUAGUUUCAGAAAGUCAGAAACGGCAAACGACGAUAGUUUCAGCCUUUCAGCCAGAACGAAGACUUCAAACUUCAAAGAGAACGGUUGUUGUGAGAAUACUAAGAGAUCGGCUACUGUGACUUCAAAGAAUCAAAGAUGGCAAAUGAAAGUAGAGUAAGUGAUGCCGGUUCAACUGAAAUUUUACCUAUUACUGAAGAUAGCAACACCAACACAAUUGAUACUCAAGAUUCUAAGAAAAGAAAAGCCAUGCAACCUAGAUCCGAAGUUUGGCAAUAUUUUGAAAAAUUUGAGGUAAAUGGGGUUGGUAAAGCAAGGUGUAGAUAUUGUAAGCAAGCUUAUGCUGCUAAUUCAUCUAGGAAUGGAACAACAGGAUUAAAAAAUUAUUUAGCUAGAUGCAAAGAAUAUCCACUUAACAUUGAUAAAGAUAAUAGUCAAACAAAGAUAAAUUUUCAAUCUUGCCAAAAUGAUGGAGGAUCACUUUGAAAAUUUGAUCAAGAAGUGGUUAGGAGGGCCUUAAUUGAGAUGAUAGUUAUUGAUGAACUACCAUUUAGCUUUGUAGAAAAGGAAGGGUUUAUGAAGUUUAUGAGAAUAACUCAACCACUAUUUCGUCUUCCUUCUCGUAGAACAAUAACAAGGGAUUGUUAUGAAGUUUACGGUGAAUUGAAGCAAAAUCUAAGAAGGUCUUUUAGAGAAGCACAACCAAAAAUUUGCCUCACAACAGACACAUGGACUUCAUUGCAAAGAAUAAAUUAUAUGUGUUUGACAGCCCACUUCAUUGAUAGGGAUUGGAAGUUGUAUAAAAGAAUACUAAAUGUUUGCCCUAUCACUAGUCAUAAGGGUGAAGAGAUGGCUAAAGCUAUUUCUAAUUGUUUGCUUGAAUGAAAAUUAGACAAUGUGUUCAUUAUUACCGUGGACAAUGCUUCUUCAAAUGAUGUCACAGUCAAAGAAUUGUCUAAAAAGUUAGAUAUGUGAAAAACUAAUACGAUGAGUGAUAAACAUCUUCAUGUGAGAUGCAUGGCUCAUAUACUAAAUCUAAUUGCGCAAGAUGGUUUGAAAGAAAUUGAUGCUUCUAUCAUACAUGCUAGAAAUAUUGUGAGGUAUGUAAGAUAUUUGCCUGCAAGGACCUUAAAGUUUAAACAGUGUUGUACACAUGUAAAGGUAGAAUGUACCAAAAUAUUGUGUUUGGAUGUUCCUACUAGGUGGAAUUCCACCUAUUUGAUGUUGGAUACGGCACAAAACUUUGAAAAAGCCUUUAAUAAGUUUCAUCUUUUUGAUGAUGGAUUUUCUGCUUAUCAAUGUUUUCAUCUUUGUGAAGAUGGUAGUAGUGCAGGUCCUCUUGAAUCUGAUGAUUGGGUGAAUGUGAGGAUUGUGAUAGUGUUUCUUGCAAGAUUUCAUGAGCUCACCAAAAAAGUUUCAGGUUCACGUUAUGUCACUUGUAAUUCUCAUUUUGAGGAUGUAUCUGAACUUUAUUGUCAUUUAAAAAUAUGUUUAAUUAGUGAGGAUGAGCAUUUGAAAAAAAUAGCUGAGAGGAUGCAAGAAAAGUUCAAGAAGUAUUGGGGUGAGUCUGAAAAGAUGAAUAAAAUAAUUUUUAUUGCUUCCGUCUUGGAUCCACGUAACAAAUUUGAAUAUGUUAGCCUUGCACUUGAAGAGCUUUUUGGGGAGGAAAAAGGGAAGAUAAUAAAUGUUGAGGUGUAUGCUUAUAUGAAUUCUUUGUUUGAAGAGUAUCUAAAAAAGUAUUCAACUGGAUCUUGCCCUUAAUCUCUAUCUAGUUCUACUUCAUCUAAUAACGCAUCUAAUACAUCUAGUGGGAGUGUUAUAACUGCAUCAUUAAUAAGGACAAAGCUUCACUUGAAGAAACAAAAGGAAGACAAUGGAAGUGGGGGUGCUAAAUCGGAGGUGGAUAAAUACAUUAGUAAAGAACAAGAGCCUUUUAGUGAAGAAUUUGAUAUCUUAAGUUGGUGAAAAACACAUGCUCCUAGAUUUUCUAUUCUUUCGGAGUUGGCUCGUGAUAUGUUGGCCAUUCCAAUUUCUAGUGUGGCGUCGGAAUGUGCGUUUAGCACCGGUGGCCGUAUUCUUGAUUCAUUUAGGAGUUCAUUGACUCCUAAAUAUGUGCAAGCUCUUGUUUGUGUUCAAGAUUGGCUUAGAGAAGAGAAGAAUCCUAUUAGUGUUGAAGAAGACUUGGAGUAUCUUGAGGAACUCGAGCUUGGUUCAAGUGCAAUCAUGCCCCGUGCUCCUUAAGUACGCUAUCAUAUUUGGAAACAUUUUGAGGUGAAAGAAGACAAUGGAGAAGUUCGCAAAGUAGAGUGCAAACAUUGUGGUCGAGUCUAUAAUGUUCAUCCAAAGAGGGAUGGCACAUAUAGUUUAAGGAAGCAUAUUAGGUGUUGUCUUGAGCGUCUUCCUGGAAUCCAUAUUUAAGAAUUAAGACUAAGUUGAUUCGAGACUAUUAGUGUAAACUUGAAUUGAGGGAUGCCCUCUCUGUUUUUUUGUUGCACUAUGUUUGAUUCUGAUGCUACUGUUAGAGUCUGCUGUUACUGUUGUGUUCUCUAAGCUUAUGCAUGUAGUGUCUUAAAUUAGUAUGCUGCUUUCUUUUCUUGACUGUA